CAAUAGCGUAUAUUAAAGUUGUUGCAGUUAAAAAGCUCGUAGUUGGAUUUUGGGAUAAGCUAGUUGGUCCGCCGCAAGGUGAGAACUGAUGGGCAUAUCCUUCCUCUCGAAGACGCUGCGUAUGGUUUACUCCGUGUGUGGUGGGUUCGGGACUUUUACUGUGAAAAAAUUAGAGUGUUCAAAGCAGGCUAUCGCUUGAAUAUUUCAGCAUGGAAUAAUGGAAUAGGACAUUGGUUCUAUUUUGUUGGUUUCUAGGACCGAAGUAAUGAUUAAUAGGGAUAGUUGGGGGCAUUAGUAUUUAAUUGUCAGAGGUGAAAUUCUUGGAUUUAUGAAAGACUAACUUCUGCGAAAGCAUUUGCCAAGGAUGUUUUCAUUA
rnacentral:rRNA from 1 species